AGAGUCAUAGCUCAGUGGCAGAGGGCAUGCUUAGCAUGUAUGAGGUCCUGGGUUCAAUCCCCAGUACCUCCA
rnacentral:tRNA from 1 species